UACGUAGGGUGCAAGCGUUAAUCGGAAUUACUGGGCGUAAAGCGUGCGCAGGCGGUUAUGCAAGACAGGGGUGAAAUCCCCGGGCUCAACCUGGGAACUGCCUUUGUGACUGCAUAGCUAGAGUACGGUAGAGGGGGAUGGAAUUCCGCGUGUAGCAGUGAAAUGCGUAGAUAUGCGGAGGAACACCGAUGGCGAAGGCAAUCCCCUGGACCUGUACUGACGCUCAUGCACGAAAGCGUGGGGAGCAAACAGG
rnacentral:rRNA from 1 species